UGAAAACAGCGCCACGGCCUGGCAUCCUGCAGC
rnacentral:sRNA from 1 species